UGGGAACGUGCCUUUUGGUUCGGAACAACCCAGGGAAACUUGGGCUAAUACCGGAUAAGCCCUUACGGGGAAAGAUUUAUCGCCAAAAGAUCGGCCCGCGUCUGAUUAGCUAGUUGGUGGGGUAAUGGCCCACCAAGGCUACAAUCAGUAGCUGGUCUGAGAGGAUGAUCAGCCACAUUGGGACUGAGACACGGCCCAAACUCCUACGGGAGGCAG
rnacentral:rRNA from 1 species